CCUACGGGAGGCAGCAGUGAGGAAUAUUGGUCAAUGGGCUCGCGCCUGAACCAGCCAAGUAGCGUGAAGGAUGACUGCCCUACGGGUUGUAAACUUCUUUUAUCAAGGAAUAAAGUGAGCCACGUGUGCCCUUUUGUAUGUACUUUAUGAAUAAGGAUCGGCUAACUCCGUGCCAGCAGCCGCGGUAAUACGGAGGAAUCGAGCGUUUUCCGGAUUUAUUGGGUUUAAAGGGAGAGUAGAUGGGUUGUUAAGUUAGUUGUGAAAGUUUGCGGCUCAACCGUAAAAUUGCAAUUGAGACUGGCAGUCUUGAGUACAGGUGAGGUAGGCGGAAUUCGUGGUGUAGCGGUGAAAUGCUUAGAUAUCACGAAGAACUCCGAGUGCGAAGGCAGCUUACUAAACUGCCACUGACAUUGAUGCUCGAAAGUGUGGGUAUCAAACAGGAUUAGAUACCCCAGUAGUC
rnacentral:rRNA from 1 species